CAGCGCAGAAAAGGAAUAAGUUUAAUUGGUCGCCAGAUGAAACGGUCUUCUUACAUCAAAUUCAAGAAAAAAUACGUAUAAUCAGAGGGUGUUAUGGGAAGAGUAUCACCCCUGAGGAUAAGAAGAGAGCGUGGACUGAAGUGGCAGAAGCUGUAACAAGUGCCUUCCCUGGGAGUGGACCCCGUACGCAGGAUGACUGUGAGAGGCGUUGGUACAACGUACAACAAAAAUCAAAGCCUUGCAUUGCCAAGUGCAAGAAUGAGCAGCAGCAGACUGAUACACACUUUAUCAGUAUUGCUAGAGACCAUCCCAGCACAUUGUUCAUUACUUGUGGAAAAGAUACCAUUAGCUGCUCCGGCAACAGCCACCGCUUCAAUAUCUGCUGGCCCUAUGACACCAGCCACUGCUUCAUCAUCUGCUGGCCCUAUGACACCAGCCACUGUUUCAUCAUCUGCUGGCCCUAUGACACCAGCCACUGCUUCAUC